GACGAACGCUGGCGGCGUGCUUAACACAUGCAAGUCGAGCGGUAAGGCCCUUUCGGGGGUACACGAGCGGCGAACGGGUGAGUAACACGUGGGUGACCUGCCCUCAGCUCUGGGAUAAGCCUGGGAAACUGGGUCUAAUACUGGAUAUUACUCUGCGGUGCAUGCCGUGGGGUGGAAAGCCUUGUGCGGCUGGGGAUGGGCCCGCGGCCUAUCAGCUUGUUGGUGGGGUGAUGGCCUACCAAGGCGACGACGGGUAGCCGGCCUGAGAGGGCGACCGGCCACACUGGGACUGAGACACGGCCCAGACUCCUACGGGAGGCAGCAGUGGGGAAUCUUGCGCAAUGGGCGAAAGCCUGACGCAGCGACGCCGCGUGAGGGAUGACGGCCU
rnacentral:rRNA from 1 species